CAUUCGUCAAGUAAAACAAGCACACCCACUCGAUAUUUCUUCCUCUUUCAGACACGUGAUGCUCAGUUACACAUCUGAUUGGUUGCAUGAGUUCACUCACAUAGCCUACCAAUAAUUCUAAAUCAGCAUACACGGAAUAUACGGAUAAAAAUGUAAGUUAUUAAAUUGUGUGCAGUUUUAACUAUUACCAGGUACUUUCUAUUUGCUGCUCUGCAGCGCCUUAACUGGCGGUGUGAAGGAACGUCAAUCUCAGUGUAAAAAUAAUUGGGCAGCCAUGGAGAGUGGGAGGGCCUAACCGACGAGCAGUGGCGCUUGUCUCGUGACGCAGUAAAACAUACGGCUACGGAAGGCUCUUGAAACACGAGUGGGUCAAAUUUUCGGUUUCAAAAUCUGGAAUAUAGACCUGGCACUAACAAACAAAGCGGAGUCUUAUUCUUCGUGGUGGUUUGUGAUGUAUGAAUGGAUAGUUGACGGAUUAUCGUCGCUCUUUGUGCCUUUUUCUGGUGAGAAAUCCGCAGCCUGGCCUAGAGAGCACGGUAACGGUGUAGCUCGAGCCGCGGGCACAGACGCGCAGCGGCUGGAGAACAGCAGGCCCGCCAAACGCAACUAUCAAAGUGUGUACUCAGCUGAUUGUGUGACACAAUAUCCAGAGGUCAAAAGAGCAAGACAUGAUAUGAUCAUCAGGGUUGUCAAGAAAACUGUUGCAGGGAUUGCAGGGCUGUUCCGAUCAAGACAACACAGAAAGGCAGAACAUGAAAAGCAGAAAGCCUUUACGGAGGUUGGCAGGGUUGCUUUUAUGGGUAUUGAUGACAUACACAGCAACAGCCUGAGUUCAUGGAUGGAGAGUGACAGAAUGGAUAAACAGAUAGAACUGGGAGUUAAAAAUAAAGAAAGAACAGCAGCCAGUGUCCACCAAAACCCCCAGGCUUUAUGGAAACCAGAUGGUGCAAUGCUGUGCAAGGGAAGUCACGACAAAGGCAGGGAGAUGUGCAGAUCACUGAAGCUAGUGCCGUCUUGCACCACCCACGGGCUAAGCGCAAGACCAGCUGAGGUGGAGCAUCCAAGCCGCACACAUAAAUCUUGCCUGACCGUGGAGGAGGCACUGAGAGAGAGCGAUCGAGAGCAUUACAGGAAGCUAGUAGAGAUGGCAUCAGGGAAAUACUCAAAGAGCAAACCAUUGCCAUUUGGACGGAUGAAGCCUCCAAUCACAACUUUCUUGCUUGAUGGACACAAGGCUAAUGGGCAUGCCUCCAUCAGUCGCGCUGCUGACAUAAGCAGACCUGCUCCAGUCAGAGCCUUACCUAAUAUGUCUGUGUGGCGGGAUCCUCUGAUGCAGACUAAAGACAGGUAA
ensembl:lncRNA